rnacentral:rRNA from 1 species
GGAGUUAGCCGGUGCUUCUUCUGUGAGUGAUGUCCUUCCUGCCGGCUAUUAACCCGCAGGCCUUCUUCCUCACUGAAAGUGCUUUACAACCCGAAGGCCUUCUUCACACACGCGGCAUGGCUGGAUCAGGGUUGCCCCCAUUGUCCAAUAUUCCCCACUGCUGCCUCCCGUAGGAGUCUGGGCCGUGUCUCAGUCCCAGUGUGGCUGAUCAUCCUCUCAGACCAGCUACGGAUCGUCGCCUUGGUGAGCCGUUACCUCACCAACCAGCUAAUCCGACAUAGGCUCAUCCGAUAGCGCGAGGCCCGAAGGUCCCCCGCUUUCCCCCGUAGGGCGUAUGCGGUAUUAGCCUGGGGUUUCCCCAGGUUAUCCCCCACUACCGGGCAGAUUCCUAUGCAUUACUCACCCGUCCGCCGCUCGCCACCAGGGAGCAAGCUCCCCGUGCUGCCGCUCGACUUGCAUGUGUUAGGCCUGCCGCCAGCGUUCAAUCUGAGCCAGAAUCGAACCCUGA